AACCUAACCUAUGGACGGGAAUAACCUCGGGAAACUGAGAAUAAUGCCCGAUAGAACACUAUACCUGGAAUGGUUUGUGUUCCAAAUGAUUUAUCGCCGUAGGAUGGGACUGCGGCCUAUCAGUUUGUUGGUGAGGUAAUGGCCCACCAAGACUAUUACAGGUACGGGCUCUGAGAGGAGUAGCCCGGAGAUGGGUACUGAGACACGGACCCAGGCCCUAUGGGGCGCAACAGGCGAGAAAACUUUGCAAUGUGCGAAAGCACGACAAGGUUAAUCCGAGUGGUUUCUGCUAAAGGAACCUUUUGUUAGUCCUACAAACACUAACGAAUAAGGGGUGGGCAAGUUCUGGUGUCAACCGCCGCGGUAAAACCAGCACCUCAAGUGGUCGGAUGGAUUAUUGGGCCUAAAGCAUCCGUAGCCGGCUCUGUAAGUUUUCGGUUAAAUCUGUACGCUCAACGUACAGGCUGCCGGGGAAUACUGCAUAGCUAGGGAGUGGGAGAAGUAGACGGUACUCGGUAGGAAGUGGUAAAAUGCUUUGAUCUAUCGAUGACCACCUGUGGCGAAGGCGGUCUACUAGAACACGUCCGACGGUGAGGGAUGAAAGCUGGGGGAGCAAACCGGAUUAGAUACCCGGGUAGUCCCAGCUGUAAACUAUGCAAACUCAGUGAUGCAUUGGCUUGCGGCCAAUGCAGUGCUGCAGGGAAGCCGUUAAGUUUGCCGCCUGGGAAGUACGUACGCAAGUAUGAAACUUAAAGGAAUUGGCGGGGGAGCACCACAAGGGGUGAAGCCUGCGGUUCAAUUGGAGUCAACGCCAGAAAUCUUACCCGGAGAGACAGCAGAAUGAAGGUCAAGCUGAAGACUUUACCAGACAAGCUGAGAGGUGGUGCAUGGCCGUCGCCAGCUCGUGCCGUGAGAUGUCCUGUUAAGUCAGGUAACGAGCGAGAUCCCUGCCUCUAGUUGCCACCAUUACUCUCAGGAGUAGUGGGGCGAAUUAGCGGGACCGCCGCAGUUAAUGCGGAGGAAGGAAGGGGCCACGGCAGGUCAGUAUGCCCCGAAACUCUGGGGCCACACGCGGGCUGCAAUGGUAACGACAAUUGGUUUCGAAUCCGAAAGGAUGAGGUAAUCCUCAAACGUUACCACAGUUAUGACUGAGGGCUGCAACUCGCCCUCACGAAUAUGGAAUCCCUAGUAACUGCGUGUCAUUAUCGCGCGGUGAAUACGUCCCUGCUCC
rnacentral:rRNA from 1 species